rnacentral:lncRNA from 1 species
CACUCACACAGAGAAAGCCUCGCUGGAGUGUCAGAGGCUUGGGCAGGAGAUAAUUCGCCGUUGUGCUUGGAAAAUCCUGCAGUUGUACCUGCAACAGGCACCUGAGGAGGCUGGGCAAAUAUUAAUAUAUAAUACUUACUGAGUGCUUCCUAUGAACUAGGACCUCUGAGAAGAGAUUUAUGUGCAGACCUCCUCUAACCUUUCCAGCAGCCCAUGAGAAAGCUGCCAUGGAGCCUUCAUUGAACCCUUACCAUGGGACAGCCACUGAGCUAAGAGCAUUGCAUGCAUGAGCUCACAUAAUCCUCACAACACCAAAUGGAGAUAUCAUUAGCUCCAUUUCACAGAAGAAGCAAUCAAGGUUUACAGACAAUAGAGAACCUGGCAAAGUCAUCCAGCCUGUGUGUGGUAGAAGAAGAUUUGAAUUAAAUACUUUCCGCCUCCAAAGUCCUUGCUGUUAACUGAGCCGUGCUGCCUCCCAGAUGGUCACAGUCAUUGCUCCCUUCAUCUGAAUUUCCUCUUCUCUGUGCAUGCUUUUUCUCACAUGGGGCAUCAUUCUAUAUGGCCAUUCUGGGACACACUUCUUUUUAUGUCUGUACCAUCCACCAAGUCCUUGAAGUACUCUGCCACUUACUCUGCAUCCAGCUCUCAGAAAAGGCAAGAGAGACCGUGUAGAAGAUACCAUGGGAAGUUUCAAAAGUCCAGGCCUGGAAGUGGCAUUGUACAUUACAACCACCCACGUUUCAAUGGCAAAAACAAAGUCACAUGACCACAUCUACAGCAAAGGAUAUUGAAUUGUGUAGAUUGGUUUGUGUAAGACUGGAAUCAACAUUUAUCUGAAUGUUUGAUAAAUCUUUCUGAUAAAAUCAUCUAAACCAAAUUUUUUGUUAUUAGGAAAAAUUUUAACUAUUGUUUAACUAAAAAAUCAAUUACAUUAAGGUUUUUGAAAUUUAUUGGCAUAAGUAUUUUCAGAGAAAUCUCUCAUAUUUUAAAAUCUUUGCCAUGUCAAUUGUUAUGUCCUCUUUUCAUGCUUAAUUUAUUUGUGACUUCUCUUUUUUCCUCGAUCAAAAAAUCAGCUUUGGUAUUUAUUAAUCCUGAAUAUCAUUUCCUAUCUCAUUAAUUUCUUCUCAAGUCUUUAUUAUUGCCUUCCUUUGACAUUUUGGGUUUGAUAUAUUGUGACUCCUCUAAUUCUGGCAUUAUCGUAACAACAUUUUUCUAAUAUUAAGCAUUUUCACUUCUAAGUUUCCUUUUGAUUAUCACUUUAGCUGAUUCCUACACAUUUGUAUAUGAAGUAUUUUAAUUAGUAAGUUUAAAAAUAUUGUAACUUCCACUCUGAUUGCUUUCAUGGAUUGUUUUAGUUUGUUUGCUGGUGCUAUAAUGAAUCCCUCAAAUUGGGUAAUUUAUAAAGAAGAGAAAUUUAUUUUCUCACAAUUCUGGAGACUGGGAAGUCCAAGAUCAAAGCACCAGUAGUUAGCAAGUGUCUUCUUGCUGCUUUAUCACAUGGUGGAAGGGCAAAGAGGCAAAAGGGGCCAAACUCAUCCUUUUAUAAUGGCAUUAAUCCUACCCAUGAGAGUAGAGUCUUUAUGCCCCAAUCAUCUCUUAAAUGUCCCACCUCCCAACACCACUGCAAUGGUAAUCAAAUUCCAUGAGUUUUGGAGGGGACAAACAUGCAAACCAUCACAUGGACAAGUUAAGUUAAUUAUUAGAACCGUCUCCCAUUAAAAUUCCACGUUUGGACUUUUUUGCAGUAAACUUCUUGUGUGUUUUAAAAUUUUUUACUUAAUUAUAUUAGGGUUAGAUAGUAUGAUUUCUAUAAUAGAAAUACUUUGACACUGACUGAGACUUGCUUUAAGGGCUUAGUAUGUGGUCAGUCUUUAUAAAUACUCCAUGUGCCUUUUAAAGGAAGAUUCAUUCUAAAUUUGCUGGUUGCAGGGUUCUACAUUAUUUCCGUCAGAUCAAACAUGUUAAUUGUUUUACUGAAACUUAUAUCCUUUAGUAAGUUUUUGCCUACUUAUUCAACCAAUAUG